AGCAGCCGCGGUAAUUCCAGCUCCAAUAGCGUAUAUUAAAGUUGUUGCAGUUAAAAAGCUCGUAGUUGAAUUUCGGGAUCAAGGAAUCGGUCAUGCCUUGGUAUGUACUGGUUUUAUUGGUUCUCACCUUCUAAAGAACCAUAAUGUCAUUUAUUUGAUGUUAUGGGGAAUUAGGACUGUUACUUUGAAAAAAUUAGAGUGUUUAAAGCAGGCUCACGCUUGAAUACAUUAGCAUGGAAUAAUGAAAUAGGACGUUUGAUUCUAUUUUGUUGGUUUCUAGGAUCGACGUAAUGAUUAAUAGGGAUAGUUGGGGGCAUUAGUAUUCAAUUGUCAGAGGUGAAAUUCUUGGAUUUAUUGAAGACUAACUACUGCGAAAGCAUUUGCCAAGGAUGUUUUCAUUAAUCAAGAACGAAAGUUAGGGGAUCGAAGACGAUCAGAUACCGUCGUAGUCUUAACCAUAAACUAUGCCGACUAGGGAUCGGAUGAUGUUAAUUUUUAAUGUACU
rnacentral:rRNA from 1 species